UCCAGCUGGGGACAGAGAUAAACAGGGAAACAGUUUCCUAGAAAACUGGGCUGUGCUAUUGUGAAGCCAUCUGUCCUUAUUUUUGUAUCAUUAGGUCCUGUAUGAUCUUGAAUAAAGUCCUGACAUCUUUAAACAUGCUUCCACCAUUUUGCUGUUGGUUGGAAACAUGGUUUAGUUGACUGCUGGCCAAUCCAGAAGAAAACUUCAGAGAGAAAAUGUUGGAUCCCUGAGGAAAAGGAGCACAGACCAUCAAUGGCCAUUGGAAAGGUGACAAAUGGAGACCUUUACUCAGAAGCAGGAGAGAAGCAGGUUGUCCAAAGUACUGAAUGCAUCUCCCCGAUCAAAUUCUUGGUUAUAUUCAAAUACUCCACACUAUGUACAAAAAUCCAUUCUGUUGCUUCAAAACAAAUCAUGAACAUCUGGGCCUUGGUUGUAAUUUCAAAUAAAAAGUUAGCAAAUUUAAAUAUCA